rnacentral:rRNA from 1 species
UACAGAGGGGGCAAGCGUUAUUCGGAAUUAUUGGGCGUAAAGGGCGCGUAGGCGGCUUUUCAAGUGACGGGUGAAAUCCCUCGGCUUAACCGAGGAACUGCCUGUCAGACUGGAAGGCUUGAGACCGGGAGAGGUGAGUGGAAUUCCCAGUGUAGCGGUGAAAUGCGUAGAUAUUGGGAGGAACACCAGUGGCGAAGGCGGCUCACUGGACCGGUACUGACGCUGAUGCGCGAAAGCGUGGGGAGCAAACGGG